rnacentral:lncRNA from 12 species
UCCAUGCUUAUUCCAAAGAGUCCCUCUGCUGAAUGGAAGACUGAAUUGGAAAGCCAAAGAGCACAAACACUCCAGGACUUGAAGGGGAAAACAUUAGAAGCAUGGCUUCCAUCCAGAGCCAAUUACAGAAAACAACAGCUCCCUAGCACUAUUGCCGACAAUAAUCUCAAGGAAAGAAUUGCACCUACUCAAGCCUGAGAACAUAUUCAAGAAGUUAAUUAUUUCCCUAGCAUGGUCCUGGGAGCAGCCUUUUUUUUUUUUUUUUCCAUGUUUCACUAUAAAGUGCCAUGGGGUAUUAUUCCUGUGGAACAUAUGGGGUACUAUAUAAAACCAAGUUGUUGCUGAUUUUACUUAAAAUCAGUUUUUAUUUCCUCUUUUAUGUCUACUUGUUUACAGCACCUUGAAACAUCUCCUGUUUGCAGGGUUCUGAGGCCUUCCACUCAGAGCUGCUUCUCCCUGGCUCCUGGAUACUUCACUCGAGCAUGCUACGUGACCCUGCAUGCUGAGAGAAGAAACGAGGGAAUGCCAGAAACUAAUUUUCAAAUAAAAUGGCAACAUGAUUGAAAUGCA